UACGGAGGGGGCUAGCGUUAUUCGGAAUUACUGGGCGUAAAGGGCGCGUAGGCGGCCUUCUAAGUCGGACGUGAAAUCCCUCGGCUUAACCGAGGAACUGCGUCCGAUACUGAAAGGCUUGAAUCCGGGAGAGGGAUGUGGAAUUCCAGGUGUAGCGGUGAAAUGCGUAGAUAUCUGGAGGAACACCGGUGGCGAAGGCGGCAUCCUGGACCGGCAUUGACGCUGAGGCGCGAAAGCUAGGGGAGCAAACGGG
rnacentral:rRNA from 1 species